rnacentral:rRNA from 1 species
GAAAAAACGCGAAAGAACUUUACCUGGCCUGGACAUCCAGAGAACUUAGCAGAGAUGUUUUGGUGCUUUCGGGAACUCUGAGACAGGUGAUGCAUGGCUGUCGUCAGCUCGUGUUGUGAAAUGUUGGGUUAAGUCCCGCAACGAGCGCAACCCUUAUCCUUUGUUGCCAGCGGCUCGGUCGGGAACUCAAAGGAGACUGCCGGUGAUAAACCGGAGGAAGGUGGGGAUGACGUCAAGUCAUCAUGGCCCUUACGGCCAGGGCUACACACGUGCUACAAUGGCGCAUACAAAGAGAAGCGACCUCGCGAGAGCAAGCGGACCUCAUAAAGUGCGUCGUAGUCCGGAUUGGAGUCUGCAACUCGACUCCAUGAAGUCGGAAUCGCUAGUAAUCGUAGAUCAGAAUGCUACGGUGAAUACGUUCCCGGGCCUUGUACACACCGCCCGUCACACCAUGGGAGUGGGUUGCAAAAGAAGUAGGUAGCUUAACCUUCGGGAGGGCGCUUACCACUUUUGUUAACCAGUA